rnacentral:tRNA from 1 species
GGACAUAUAGCUCAGAUGGUUAGAGUGGCACGUUGACAUCGUGCAGGUCACUGGUUCGAUUCCAGUUAUGUCUA